AUCUUUAAUAUUUCGAACUGGAUUAACUCUUCUUGUAGAGUUGAGAACAAGAACAUAGAUGUCCAGCUCACGCUAUGAGAUGACUGAUUGACCUUAUUUCGAUAUCGAGACAUUCGGCCAUGACAGCAUUUUCAAGUGCGCGAUCCCACAAUGCAACGCAUAUAUGUAAACAAUAACAAUAAUUGGAAUAGAACUACGAUUGAGUAGACUAGUGUGUAAACGUUCGUUCAAUAUUUAAUACACAUCUUGAUUAAUAAAUAACUGUUUGUCAGCUUUUUCCAAAUGUCAGUAUCAUUACAAGUUUCCCGUACGUUAUGCCCGCCAGUUUUAUCGCUAUGUCGACGGCAUUCAAUAUUCCAUAAACACUACGUUUGAACUCAUGCUAUAUCAGUAUACACACUAGCUAUGUAUACACAUUCCAUUUGCCUUAAUGCUUACUUUCUUUGAUAAGCAGCCGAUAAGCAUGUUUCUACCGCCCAGGCUCAGGAGUCAAUGAUCGUGAUACAUGAGAUAUAUACGAUAUGUUAUGGUUAUUAUGCAGAACCUCUGCUUCUGGCGGACUUUGUUUCAACGUAGAAUAUAUAGUUCCAGAUUAGUCCUUACAUUGUAUUAAUUCAGCAGUUCUUCAACACUAGCAUAAGGACUGAGGGAACGCUUAGAUCAUACAGAACACUUCGGGUUUACCAUAUACUAGUAUACAGGUUUAUCAUAUACUACUGCAGAGUAGGGUGUGAAGAGCAGCAUGGAGAUUCGAGGACAUGUAUACUCAAGCACGUAUAUGUCUGAACUUCUUAAGGAUAUGCAACUGAAUGUAUUGUAUUGGUGGAAACUUUGCCUUUGUUAAGUAUAAGAAAAUACAGAUACAGAUACAGAUAUUAAAACCUUCGUUUUUCGGAUGAAGACUUCAGAACUUUAUAGCACCGUUAUAUAUGAGACAAACAAUACCCUGAUGCCUGCCUUCAUAUAUAGUAUAAUGUGUUAGACAACAGUUCAACUUUUGUUUAUUUUAACUAUCGUUUUCGGAUGCAGAAUUCAGAACUAUUAAGCACUAGACAUGAGGAUAGCUAUAUCUUGAUGCAGACUUCAGAACUAUAUAGCACCGUUUAUAUAAGGAGGACGAUACCUUGAUUCAUGCAUUCAUAGUUAAUGUGUCAGAACUACAGUCACACUUCUUUAAACAUUAAACGCAAGAAUUUUAACUACAUGUAUGUAAGACAGAUUUAUUUUAUCCGUCUGGGUAAGAGAGAAGUGAUUAUUGUGAGCACUCUUUCAGAACUAGUAGAGGGUUCGUUCUAAAGCACAACAGGAAGGUGUGGUUAUUGGAAUUAUUGUAUUGUUAAUGUCAUUUUUUUUCUUUUUUUACAUUUGUAUUUGCUACCAUUAUUAUUUCUUGGGGGCUUUCAUUCUUUCAUUUUAUGAACUCAUUUCAUUUGGCUUUUAAUUCCAGGGGAAUCAUACUCCCCCAAUUCAAUAAUACAUCAGAUAGGUUAAUUCCUGUCGAGGAACAAAUUGUAUUUUAAGUAGUAUUUUUACUACGCUGGGAUCGCCCAGGAGCAAUUAGGUUCAUUCCUGUCGAGGAAUGUAGGUUCAUUCCUGGGGAUCGCCCCAGGAAACACAUAGGCUCAUUCCUGGGGAUCGCCCCAGGAAACACAUAGGUUCAUUCCUGGGGAUCGCCCCAGGAAACACAUAGGCUCAUUCCUUGGGAUCGCCCCAGGAAACACAUAGGCUCAUUCCUGGGGAUCGCCCCAGGAAACACAUAGGUUCAUUCCUGGAGAUCGCCCCAGGAAACACAUAGGCUCAUUCCUGGGGAUCGCCCCAGGAAACACAUAGGCUCAUUCCUGGGGAUCGCCCCAGGAAACACAUAGGUUCAUUCCUGGGGAUCGCCCCAGGAACAUUUUUUACUAAUCGCAUAUUUUUAUUUUUCUCAUAUUUUGAUAAGUUUUGAAUUUAUUUUCUCAUAUUUUGAAUAGUUUGAAAUGUUUAUUUCAAUUCUCUUAAGUGAAUGAGUAGCCCCCAGAAAGCCAAUAAUGUAUUAUAUAGUUUGUCAUAUAAUGUAGAAAAAUAUGUACGGUUAUGAUACAGUUUAUUUUAAUAUUUAGUUGUAGUUUUAGUAUGUUUUGAUAUUUGAAUAAUAAAACAUAUAUCUUAAAUUGUGUUGUGUAUAAAAGGAAAUUUGAUUUAUUAAAUUAUAGUUUAUACACAAUACAAUGUAUCUGUUAUCAAUGAUUUCAGCAGGCAGGUAUCUAGUCUAUUCUUAGGCAAUUACAUAACAUCUAUUUUUAGCUUAGUAGGAAUAGUGCCCUAGAGGGGGGUUAGAGUAUUGUUGAUGAAUUGAGAGGAAGCAUCGUUGUAUUUGAUGCAUUACAAUCAGUUAUCCCACCCACCAGCCCCAACUACACCUGUGCAUUAACUGGGAUUUAGCUUACAUGAUAGGUAUGAUAUGGAUGUAUUAAAAUAUGUAAAAAUUUUAAAGGUGUUACUCUAAGUUACAGUCAGACCAAUAUUGUGUAAUUCUGACUGCAAGUUCUUGGUAUUUCUGUUUAAGAAUAUUCAAACAGUUGUUUAGUUUGUUAUAUUUUCAUUAAAGCUAAAGUGUUUUCAUGAUACAUGUAUGCAUUCCUGCGAAGUUAUAAUAUAUCAUCUAUAAAAAUUGAAGUUAUAGAAAGAGUGAUUUGAAAUUGCUAUAUGACAUGUUAUAUUUUCUUCAUAUAUCUUGUUUGUUAGUUUAAAUAUAUUAAUAUUGUUCAUCUCUUGUUUAGGGGCUACUCAUAUGGAAAUGAUAUGUGCCUUUCUUUUAAUUCCAGGGGAAUCAUACUCCCCCAAUUCAAUAAUACAUCAGAUAGGUUAAUUCCUGUCGAGGAACAAAUUGUAUUUUAAGUAGUAUUUUUACUACGCUGGGAUCGCCCAGGAGCAAUUAGGUUCAUUCCUGUCGAGGAAUGUAGGUUCAUUCCUGGGGAUCGCCCCAGGAAACACAUAGGCUCAUUCCUGGGGAUCGCCCCAGGAAACACAUAGGUUCAUUCCUGGGGAUCGCCCCAGGAAACACAUAGGCUCAUUCCUUGGGAUCGCCCCAGGAAACACAUAGGCUCAUUCCUGGGGAUCGCCCCAGGAAACACAUAGGUUCAUUCCUGGAGAUCGCCCCAGGAAACACAUAGGCUCAUUCCUGGGGAUCGCCCCAGGAAACACAUAGGCUCAUUCCUGGGGAUCGCCCCAGGAAACACAUAGGUUCAUUCCUGGGGAUCGCCCCAGGAACAUUUUUUACUAAUCGCAUAUUUUUAUUUUUCUCAUAUUUUGAUAAGUUUUGAAUUUAUUUUCUCAUAUUUUGAAUAGUUUGAAAUGUUUAUUUCAAUUCUCUUAAGUGAAUGAGUAGCCCCCAGAAAGCCAAUAAUGUAUUAUAUAGUUUGUCAUAUAAUGUAGAAAAAUAUGUACGGUUAUGAUACAGUUUAUUUUAAUAUUUAGUUGUAGUUUUAGUAUGUUUUGAUAUUUGAAUAAUAAAACAUAUAUCUUAAA